GCGGGGGCGGGGCCCACAACCUGGGGGAGUGGCUACACUCGCGGGCUCAGAGGACCUGCGGAGGUAGCCUGGAGACGGAGUCCGACCGGAGUAAAUAUUUAUCAUGUGCCCAUUGUCUGCCAGCAAUGUGCUAGAAGCAGCAAGUACAACGGAGCUUACAGACUUCAUCCUUCUCAUAUAAAAGGGAUGAGUUUAAAAAGAAAAUCACCACUGUUAUAAUGCAAAAUGUGACAGCUUCUGAUUUAGCAUUAGCUACCACUGUCAGCUUCUGACUAUCCACAUUAGGAAGAGCAUCCGACACGUUUAUAAGUGCGCAUGCAUGGAGUGAUUUCAGAAAACAGUUUGCUACCUCUGACUGAAAAUAAUCAUCUCUGAAACUCUGCAAAUUCAACAUGCUUUUCAUAACAUAAAUGUGGAGCUGAGCCUUCUUCUUCCUUCUCAUCCAAUCCCUCCUCAUCAACCUACUGGGGCUCUUUGUUAACCUACUGGAGUCUCACUAAGAAAGAGAGAGCUAGAGAAUUCAGCUUUCUUUCCUGCCUCUUGUUUCAGGGAAGUGUCUUGGCAAAAGCUGGUUGUUGGCUCUCUCUGGGGCUGGGAUCAGGGAAGGAGAGGCUGCAGGCCCAAAAACUCAGUCUCUGCUGGAGUCCUCAGUCAUGUUCAGGGAGAGGCUGCAGUUUGCUAGAGUACCUCUUCCCUUGUUGUUCUCCCCUAGGCCACUCACACUGGGCCACACUGGGGAUAAGUCUUUGAUAAGGUGUCCAGAAGCUCACCAAGCUGUUCAGGGUGCAAAUAUCGAAAGCUGAGACUUCAUCUCACCUCCUAGGUCCCUGGUGUCAUUGCAGGGGUGGAGAAUUUGCUGGGGGACUGGGGUGGGGGUGCUCACUGACUCAGUCCUGCCAUCCUGACACUCACGUCCACCUGUGGUCCUUCUCUGUUAGCCUCACUGGCAAACCUAGUCACCCAUCAUGCCCUGGCCAAAUCUACUUCUCCUUCCCUGGGAGAAGAGGUUCAGUGCCUUGUUCAGUCCCGCCUGACACCAAAAUGCUCUUUGAAGCUCUUUAGAAUCUUCUGAUUCUGCCCUGCUUGCAAGAGUAGAAGAAAGGUGAGUGUUCUAAUUGCAAAUUGUUCCAUUUAACUGUAAGAAUCAUGCCUUACUUCCUCAGGAGUAAGACAGGAACAGAAAUGAUGAGGGCUCUUUGGUCACAAUUGAAGCAAAAUGAAGUGAAGAUGGAAGCUUGCAGUGCUUUGAAGUUACAAGUGGAAGCUCAUCUUUGCUUCUAGCUACAUGAAAGAGAGACAAUCUUGUCAAACCUGUGGACUUGAGUACACAUGCAUGCUCUCAUGAGACAAUCAGCACGUAUUCCUGGCUGUGAUUUAGAUGUGGCUUGUCUCUGCCAAAACUCAUGUUGAUAUUUGGUUGCCAAAGCAGAAGGGUUUGGAGAAGGGGCCUUUGGAAGGUGACUGGGUCACUGGGGUACCAUCCUCGUGAGUGGAUUAGUGUUUUUCUCCAGAGGCUAGACUAGAUCUUGUGAGAAAGGAUUCAUUCUUCUGAGAGUGUGUUUCUAUCAAGUGAGCCUGGUGCCUCCCCUCUCUUUCCAGCUUGCUUUUCUCUUGCACACACCCACUUCACCUUCUGUUUUACUCCAGGAGUUGGUACAGAUUAAGGCUCUCCCCAGAUGUGGCCACCUGAUCUUGGUUUUCCCAGCCUCCAGGACCAUGAGCCAAAAUAAACCUCUUUGGUCCAUGAUACCCAGACAUUGAAGAUAUUCAGUUUCAUCCCCUGGAGAAAAAGAAAGAGAACUGAAUAUUUGGAGGGAAAGAAUGUGUUGUUAAAGUCUGAUAACUGAUAAUGAAAUCCUUGUUAUUGUUUUAACAAGUGCAUAGGUUGGAAGAAGACUUCCUUCCAGACCUCGCAGCUUGGACCUCUGCCCUAUUUACAGUUCUUAACUAAGGGUUUCUCCUACCCAGUGAAAUUUUUCCAUGUGUAACUCUAAAGGGUCUUCAGAACAUCUGUCCAGGGCCCUUGGUGGAGAGUGAAUAGCAUUCCAUAACUGUCCCUUUUUGAACCAGUGCCAAAAGUCUCAGCUUUUCCAUGCUGAAUAUGAAAAAGCUUUUUAUGGUGUCAUUAGGAAGGAGAUUCUGGCACCACCAGAAUUAAAAGUCAUGUGGGUGGCAGGGUUUUGAGUCCCUCAACCAAUGUGAUGCAUAUCCCUGUAAUUGUUUUGCAGGGCCUCUAACCAGUAGGUUGGUCUUAUCUCCCUACCUGAGAUAGCUCCCAGGCCCUCUGAUGCUAAUGUGAAGUUGCCUUUACUUUGGGAAAGCAAGGUUAAAUAAGACAGUUUGUAGCCAUGUAACCCCAGCACUCUGGGAGGCUGAGGCAAGAAGAUUGCAAGUUCAGGAAUAGUCUAGGCAUCUUGGCAACCCAGAAAGAAUCUGUCUCAAAAUAAAAAAUAAAACAGGGCUAGAGAUGUAUCUCAGUGUGACAACUCUGUGUUCAAUUCCCAGUACUGCCAAAAACAAACAAACAAAAAGACAAGACACUUGUUCUAUAGCACAUUAGGAUAACUAUGGCUGACAAUAAUUAAUUGUAUAUUUCAAACUACAGUAGUUUAUAGAGAGGAUUUUAAAUGUCACAACACAGAGAAAUUAUAAAUGUUUGAGGCAAUAGUGUUAAACCAAGUACCUUGAUAACAUGUUGUAUGCAUUUAUUGAAAUACUACACCAAAUCCCAUAAAUAUAUACAAUUCAUAUGUGGUAAUUUAAAAAAUAAUUCAUUGAAGGGACUUUCAACAGCUCUUAACUCUAUGUCAAAGGAUAUUCCCAGACAAUAAGAGCUUCACUUAUUAUAAGGGUAGAUUUCAUUGCCCUCUUGCCCAACACAUGCAGGAUUUACAUUCAUCUGAAGACUGGCAUGGCUGGUCAGCCUACCCUUCUCCUGGGUUGUGGGACUAGCAAGUAGGUGGAAGAGAGAGUAGGGGUUCAAGACUUGGGGGAAUUCUUCAAGGUGUGACCUUAAAUAAGGGACAGCUACACAGGAGCAUUUUUUCCUGAUCUUAAGGCAGUCUACACUCCAACUGAUGCUUGAAGGAUCAGCAAUUCCUGUUAUACAGGGGAGAUACUCAUUUUGGGGGUUUUAAGCCAUGAAGAUAGGAUAAAGUCUCAAGCAUAGACCUUGUCCUACCCCUCAUCCUCUGCCCCCUGAAAUAUUCUCUUUCCUUGAAAAGCCAAAGUGUGAUUGGUAGUGGCCAGCUUUGUAGAGCAGAGAGCAGGAUGUCUCUGUCAUCAAUGGGAAUAAAGAUGCCACAAUAACCUCUUCUCAAAGGAAGGGCCUGACAUGAGGCUCCUAUCCUCAAACAACUGAGCAAGGUCUACCAAGCAACAGUGCAAAUAUUUGGUUCAGUCUGACCUUAUAGUGAGUUGGGGCAUCAGGACCUAGAAAGCAGAAUUUGCCUCAAUAUUUUAGAAGUCUGCAGUCCCAAGAGGGAGACUGCACAGGGCUGGAAAAGGCAAGCCAAAGAGAAAAAUCAAACAUUGAGAGCUUGUCUCUGGGGCAUAGAUUUUAACCAAAACAGAAAAAAACCACCAACAAACUACAUAGUAAAACAUUCCCCUGAGGAAAUUAGCCAAGGUACUAGAUUUUCCUCCACUCCAAACAGUCCUAAAGCUUAUGGCUCCAAGGCCAGACCUUUAGAGUGGCAAAAUGAACAAUGAGUAUAAGGAUUCUUGAGUGCACUCAGCUGAGAUAAAAGCCACAGACUCAUAAUAAAAUUGUGGACAUUUCUCUAGAUUCUGUGUCAAUUAGGGCAGAGAAACAGAGAUAGCACUUGCACGAAUGUUUUCAGGAGCUGACAUUUUCCUGAGUGUGUCAAAGUUGAAACCCCCCGGGGCCUAGGCUGAGACAUCAGGAUAAGGACUCUGGACCCAGGCAAGGCUGGGAAGGCAAUGAGGCUGGUAGAGAUUGGGACAUAAUUCCCACAGGCAGCAAGUGUUUUUGAUCCUUUAAGACUGAGAAAGUUGUCAAUGCUGGGAAGAACAUGGAAGUGAGGAGUGACAGGAGUGGAUGAGAGAUCACAGGUUGAAGCCUCUAAGUAAGUUCUUGAAUGGAUAUGGCUGGGAGGUCACAGAAGUCAAGAUCACUCCCAGUUAGCAGGCAAAGAGCUAUGCACAAGCAGCAGUUGACCAGGUAUCCAGGGGUGUCCAGAAUGGGCCAGUCUACACCCAUUGCCCCAGUGUGAACUUAAUAAUGGAGCCAGCACUUUCAAAAGUGCCCACACUUGAAUGAGUAAUUAUGUGGCCACUUUUCUGAUGCAGCAUCCCCUUGGGCCAAGCCUGGUUUCCUGCACAUUGGGCCUGUACAGUUG
rnacentral:lncRNA from 1 species